rnacentral:lncRNA from 1 species
GUCUUGCAGCUGCUUCUGAGAUUUAGGCAGAUUUUGUUGCUCAUGUGCUGUUGAACAAGUCUCUUAGGGUGUUCUCAUCAGCCUUUUUCCUUUCUGUCCGUGUCACAAUCGCUGCCACUUCUGUGCCAGUGACUGACAUUGAAGUCUUACUUUGGCCCUAUUGAGGGGACUCUGGCUUUAUUGUUUUUUUCUUACUGCUUGUUAUGCACAGAGCUCUCUGGAAGACCUCACACUGCUGUCCCGGACUCCAAGUGCCCCCGAGCCUCACGACUCUAUGCUUAGGGGGCUACCUCUUCGUUGCUGUGACUCGGUGGAAGUUGGGAGCAGUUUGUCUGCUCCUUGCAUCUCUUCAGGUGGCCAAGAGGAGAACUCCUACCCCAUCAGGACUGCUCCAGGUCUCUACCUGUCUCAGAGAUCACUCCGAAGCCUGCGGAGGGCAUAAACCCUUCCCAGGAACAUUAGGAACUAAGAAAAGGCCAUGUGAACACACAGCAAAAUGGGGGCCAUCUGCAAGACAGAAAGAGAGUUCUCACCAGAAACUAAACUCUACCAGACCUUGAUCUUGGACUUUCCAGCCUCCAGAACUGUGAUAAAAUCAAUUUCUUUUGUUUAAGACACCCUGUCUAUGGUAUUUUGUUAUGGCAGCUUGAGCUGACUAAUACAACCCCCAUCAAACAUCAACACUUUCAAAGGCAAAACAUCAUUUAUUCAAAGAAGAUGUUAUUUGACAAAAUUUUAAAAGAACACACAACAAACAGCAUAAAUUGACGUAGUGUGGAUAAACAUCAUUUGGCGUCCCUUGGCUUCUGAAAUCUAGAUACAAUUGUCUUCAAACCCUUCUUCCCGCCUUUUUGCCACGGGAAGACCACAGUCCACACGGAUGUCUGCACAUCCCUUGAAGGAGGAGGAAGACAUUUCCUCUAACCACUCUGGAUCCUUCUGGCCAGAAAACGAAUAAAAUUCACAUGAGACAGAAUAACAGAAGAAAAUUAAACAAAGCUUUAUAACAUGUAUACAUGGGAGAGACUCAGGCAAACUCAGCUACUUGCCAAAAUGGUAGAAGCUCUCACCUUGAACACCACCCUCAGGAAUAUGAAACUGGGGCUCAGAAAAUAGAGAAUACUGUCAGACACCUCAAACGAGAAUGAAGAGUUGCAAUUGCAGGAAGAAAUAUGACUGGUCCUUAUUUGAACUCUGGUCCAUUUCCUACCCAGAAGGAAUUAAGACUCUGCCCUGGUUUCUAUGUCAUCCUCCACCAUGAGAUGAAAAAUGAGAGCCCAUAAGGAGUCAGAAAACAAAGGUAUCAUACAUGCAUUGCCUUUGAAGAUAUGUAUGAGUUGCUAACAAAUGACUGACUCUGGAUCUGAACAAUGAAAGCCAGAGAAUGAAAGACAUACCCAAGCAAAUCAUGCUGAUCAGAAUUACUAAUAUAUGUGAUCUUCUUGGUAUCUGGACAUCAGCUUUUCCAAAGCACCAUUAUUGGCAAAUCUGUAAAUUUUAAAAUCUGCAAUUGUGCUGGGUAGCAAUGGCGCCCUCCAAGUUUCAGUCCCUCACAAUGUGCUGUUCACCCUGCUCCCGAAAGGAUCCCGAGGGCUGGGAGCCAAAUAUAUAUAUCUUUCUCCACUCUCCCCACAAGCAGAAGGUUGCAGAAAUCUCCUUUUGGGAACCUGACCAAUCCUCUAAAAAAGACUUACAGAUAGUGAAGUCGGGAGUUUCUUAACGAGAUGGACAAGUCAAGUCCUGCUAUAAUAAAGGACAGGACAUCUGGAGAGCAGAAAUCCACACAAUCAAGGUCGGGGAGCCAGAGGUGCUAAAGGGCCAAGGGAAAAUUUAUUUUGCUCCUAUUCUAUUUGUGUGUAGUGCCGAGAAAACAGGAAUUCUGAGACUCAACAUCUGCAAAUUCUCACCGAAAUUGCUCAGAAAAGGGAGAUUAACCCUGAGCUAACAUCUGCUGCCAAU